rnacentral:sRNA from 1 species
ACUUAGUUGUAAGUUUGCGAAGCAGUGAUUUAAUAUAUAGCCAGAACUGGAACAGGAAAGUCCUGUUUUUGUGUUACGUUUAAAUUAAAGAUGCAGAUGUUUUACGUUGUUGCCAUGGUUUUCAUGCUGAUGACCACAAAAGGCAUACUUAGUGCGCCACAGCAGCCGAUACCAACAACUAUCGAACAAUUAAAAAGUUGCAUCAACAAUCCAUUAACCGCCCUAGAUAACUGCAGGAAAAGCUGUGAUUCCAGAGCUGCUGUGUUGGAUAAAUUCAAAUGUGAAUUAGCUUGUUUCAUGAAAUUCCACGAACAAAUUCAGCAGUGUUCAGCGCUAGAAUGACAUCAAUCCAGGCAAUAAACAGGCCCAGAGUGCAAUGUCUUUCAUUAAAACUUAUCUGUACUUUUAAUGCAAAAACCAACUGGUUUGUUUAAAGUACAGGUUUGGUGGAUCUUACACAGAAUCUUGAUUUGAAAGGAUCAUGUUUCGAAUGACAAGAUCCCUGAGAAUCGAGUCAAGCAAACAUUGACACGGCGUGCAAUGAGCUGUAAUGAAUAGCGUUUCUACCUGUCCUCCCAAUUCACAGCAAACCUUAAUACACUCAUAAACGGCUUCAUGUUUAUGUGAUGAACACCUGGUUUUGACAGUUCACUGUAUAGCUUAAUGAUUUGUAUUGUGUAUAUCAUUACCCUAGCCAAUUAUCAUUAGUUCUGACACACUAACAUUCCGCUGUUUGUAGACUUCUAUGAUCAUAAUAUCUAAAAUAAACCCCACUGAAUUGAGCUGAUGUUAAAGAUGAUCUUACCUAUUAUUGACUACGUCCAGUUAACACAGAUAUCCAGAACGAACUAAGCGCAGCUACCAUACUAAACUAAAACUAUUGUCUUCUUUUUUGAGAGAUUCAUUGUUCUUAUAUGAUGCUUCAAAAAUACGUUUACUCGUCCAUUUCCAGGAAGAUAGGUAGUAAAGUAAAACCACUAAACAACUUUCUCAUUCAUAAAAAUCAUUGACAUUUAAAUCUCUUAUGUUAGAUCAUUUGUUCAUUUGUUAAUUGUUUUCCAAAAUAGAGAUUCUAUUUUGUCACAGUAAAAGUAUUGUUCAAAGUCUAAAUUCAUCUUGACAUUUUCCUUUACGAGUUAUAAAGUUGAUGUUUUCUGCGAUUUUUUAUUUGAUCUCUACACCAAUGUUCAUUGUCAUUGAAUAUUAUAUUUGGUACAUUGGUGUAAAAUGUAUUCCAAGCUCCCGUGACUAAUGCCACUUUCGACAAAAAGGUGAAUUAUUAUGUAAAUUGUGUUUAUGUAAACGAUUAAGAGCUUAUUCUACUUUUGCUUUUUAUGUGCUUCUUACAGAAUAUUUUUUUACAAUGUACAUACUUGCAUGGAUUCAAUACAGCAUGCUGCUUUCUGUGAAACGUGUGUUUGUGUAUUGGAAGCAGACUAAGAGAGUUGAAAUAAAGAAACUAAAGAA